CCUACGGGUGGCUGCAGUGGGGAAUAUUGCACAAUGGGGGAAACCCUGAUGCAGCAACGCCGCGUGAGCGAAGAAGGCCUUCGGGUCGUAAAGCUCUGUCCUAAGGGAAGAAGCAUGAUGGUACCUUAGGAGGAAGCCCCGGCUAACUACGUGCCAGCAGCCGCGGUAAUACGUAGGGGGCGAGCGUUAUCCGGAAUCACUGGGUGUAAAGGGUGCGUAGGCGGUAGGGCAAGUCAGAUGUGAAAGCCCGGGGCUCAACCUCGGGAUUGCAUUUGAAACUGUAGGGCUUGAGUGCAGGAGAGGAGAGUGGAAUUCCCAGUGUAGCGGUGAAAUGCGUAGAUAUUGGGAGGAACACCAGUUGCGAAGGCGGCUCUCUGGACUGUAACUGACGCUGAGGCACGAAAGCGUGGGGAGCGAACAGGAUUAGAUACCCUAGUAGUC
rnacentral:rRNA from 1 species